rnacentral:miRNA from 1 species
AUUCACGGUGCCUCGGAUGGAGGCUCACAAGGGAGCUGCAAGCUCUUGCAACUCGUUCUGCCCGGUGAGAAGUGAUCCA